AGAGACAGCAGUCGCCGCGGUAACACGUAGGUGGUGAGCGUUGUCCGGAAUCAUUGGGCGUAAAGGGAGCGCAGGCGGGCAUGUAAGUCUUUCUUAAAAGUUCGGGGCUCAACCCCGUGAUGGGAAAGAAACUACAUGUCUUGAGUACAGGAGAGGAAAGCGGAAUUCCCAGUGUAGCGGUGAAAUGCGUAGAUAUUGGGAGGAACACCAGUGGCGAAGGCGGCUUUCUGGACUGCAACUGACGCUGAGGCUCGAAAGCCAGGGGAGCGAACGGGAUUAGAUACCCCUGUAGUCCCUGUCUCUUAUACA
rnacentral:rRNA from 1 species